rnacentral:rRNA from 1 species
UAGGGAAUCUUCGGCAAUGGGGGGAACCCUGACCGAGCAACGCCGGCGUGAGUGAAGAAGGUUUUCGGAUCGUAAAGCUCUGUUGUUAAGGAAGAACGAGUGUGAGAAUGGAAAGUUCAUACUGUGACGGUACUUAACCAGAAAGGGACGGCUAACUACGUGCCAGCAGCCGCGGUAAUACGUAGGUCCCGAGCGUUGUCCGGAUUUAUUGGGCGUAAAGCGAGCGCAGGCGGUUAGAAAAGUCUGAAGUGAAAGGCAGUGGCUCAACCAUUGUAGGCUUUGGAAACUGUUUAACUUGAGUGCAGAAGGGGAGAGUGGAAUUCCAUGUGUAGCGGUGAAAUGCGUAGAUAUAUGGAGGAACACCGGUGGCGAAAGCGGCUCUCUGGUCUGUAACUGACGCUGAGGCUCGAAAGCGUGGGGAGCAAACAGGAUUAGAUACCCUGGUAGUCCACGCCGUAAACGAUGAGUGCUAGGUGUUAGGUCCUUUCCGGGACUUAGUGCCGCAGCUAACGCAUUAAGCACUCCGCCUGGGGAGUACGACCGCAAGUUG